AAUGACGUCGAAUCUAUUCGUGGCGGUUUUGAUAUAGUGACGCUGGACACUGCUAUAAGUCAAAUGGCCAUAGUGAUAACAAAAAUAAAAUCACACAUAUUUCACAUAUAUUACACAGCCUGCUGCUCAUAACUGCUUAAGAGUACGCUGGCCACGAGCGAUGACAUAUUGUCGGACCUACACACAAAUUUCAUGAGGAAAGUUAACGUGCACGUUAUAAUCAGCACAGAAGUUUCGUCUGAAUUGAACAUGUUUCUACUUUCACAUGCAAAUGAUUUGUUGCACUUAUGAAUAUGAUAACAUACCAGCAUCAAUUCUAGUAGGUUAAAACUUAAUUCUGAAACGGGCUGUUUAGCCCUGCCAUUAGGUGAAGCUUUGUGUGAACAAGCCACUGCUGCAGAGUGUGAGCAGCUCUCUCAAAACUGUCAAAGGUAGCUACAACAUAUCUGGAAAAUCGGCCAGCAUCAUGACUAAUAAUGCUGACAGGAAAUGACAUUCGGUGUACGUGAGCGUUUCUGUUCAGUGUGUCUUCACCCACAAUGUAACACCUGUUUAGUGUGACUCCCACAGUUCAGAGCACUUCACUGCUUUUCUGCUGCACAUUUCUCUGUUUGACAAUAAUGGGCAACUAUGACAUGUCUGAUCAUAUUUAUGACAACACCAACUGGAUGAAAAAGGAUUCAUUUGGAAUUAGGAAAUCUGCCAAAAAGAAGCAAUGUAGACCUAUCUGUGCCAAGGUUCUUGCUGUUCUCCUCAUCCUGUCUCUGCUGGUUAAUGGAGUGCUGGCAUACUUGUAUGUCAGUAAAUAUAAAAAUGUGCUGUUGCAGUGCGAGCCAGGAACAAACUGCUCAAAUUCAGACCAUCAUCAAGGAAUUCCGGGCUGCACAUAUGAUGAGGACUGGAGGUCAAUAACCUACUGCCCAGAUUUGCCAGAGCAGUGGUAUAAGGGCAAUGGCAGAUUUUACAUUUUCUCCAGUCACAACAAGACCUGGAACUCCAGCAGAGAGUAUUGUCAGGAUCUGGGUGGAGAUCUGGUCAUUAUCGACAACACAGAGGAGAAGGAAUUUCUUGCUCAGAGACUAUGUGUUGCUGGUGAAUCUGAUCUCUACUGGGCUGGGAACAAGGAUGGGAACUGGUCAGAUCUGAAUCCCAAAUACAACUGUGCUGUUCUUAAAGGAAAUACACAAGAAAACAUGCAUUGCUUAAGAGAAGAGAAGAGCAUUUGUGAGAUCCCAUGCCUUCAAUAAACCUACAAUAAAUGACUUAUUUUUUUACA
ensembl:lncRNA